UCUUUGCUGUGGGGAACCUUUUCUCUGGGGCUCCCCAACUCGCGCUACUCUGCACUUCAUUCAAUCAGCUGACAUCGAACAAACAACAACACCAUCAGCUGGCUUUGUGUGCUCCGUGAGGGAGAAAAAAAUCUCUUAUCACUGCCUUAUCAAGCUCCCGUGGUGGCACCCUCGUGGGUGAAAGAGAAUAAAAAUUCCUUUGAGAAAAUCCCGCGCAUUUCUUCGUGAAAAGUGAACGAGAGAGAGAGAGAGUUUAUUACGUAAAAAAAGUGCUGUGUGUGAAAAUCGAUUGCAGCCUGUGAGGAGGAUCCGCGCCACAGAGAGUCUCCAGUCCCCCAGGAGGCACCACUAAAGGACACCCCAGAGGAGAGAGAGAGCAAGAGAUUAAAAUUCCCUCAAAAGUGAUUCUGCGAGGAAAGUUUGUCAGAUACACGCGAAUAAGUGAAGGAGUGCAUUUGUGAGAACAAUCGCUAUUGAACGCAUACAUUUGUGGGGGAAAAAGCUCACAGAGUUGGGAGUAAUGACAUCGCCGGCGAUAAAGUCAAAGCGAAAGGGAAGCCGCCAGUCUAUGGGCUCCACACUUAGUGUGGCUCCAUCUGGUUGUGUUGCUGUUGUGCGGAACUCGGGGUUUUUCAACUGGCUCCGAGUAUUUCGCUUAGCUAACCUCAUGAUCCAGCAAGGUUGCUAAGAAAAGCCCGCGCGAAAGCACGCUGAAAGCUCCACAGGCAGAGUUGGUGGCAAAUGGGCGCCACAGAGGCAUCCAAAGGGAAGUCUCAUCGUGUGGCUCCACAAGAAUGGAUUUGUGGAGGAGGAUGUAGUGCAAUCGUAGAUACAGAAAAAUCAUUAUUUUAUAGAAUAUAAAAUGUUUUGAUGAUAAAAAAAUCAAUAUCAAAGAAUAAUUUUCAGAGUUGAAAAAAACACCUAGAUGUGUUUGUAGAUAGAAUGGAUGUAGGUUGUGUAGAUAAAAUUAAUCACAUUUGAUCCUUUUUUUAUUUUUUGUUAUUCUUAGUCGUUCUAAUUGGUCAAUCUCUUCCUUGAAAAAAAAUCUCUGCAUUGCAAUAUUUUCUUUAAUUUAUUUAAAAAAGAAAAAAAUAAAUAAAUAAAAAGAUGAUGUAGAAUAUUAUAAAUUCAAAAUGCAAAAAAUAAAAACAACUUUUGAGGUUGA